AAAAAGCAAUCAGAGCCCCCCUGCUUCGACCCCGUCUGGAUCGGGAGAGCCAGAGCCCCCGAGCUACCCACCCCCCGCGCCACUCCGACGACCUCGUCGCCGGCGACCACCGCUGCCCUGUCUACCAUCUCCUUCCUCCUCCCUUUUCUUUUCUUCUCCACCGCUGCCUCGUCCACCAUCGGCGACGGCCGGAAAGGCGAGAGGUGAGGCCGCGUUGGCCGGGAUUGACGACGCGGGUCGCCAUGGCUGUGGAUCUCGCCGUCGCGCGCACGGACCUGGCAUCAACGACGCCCUCGCGCCCGUUCCUCUCGACGCCCUGGACCUCUAGGCUCCCGUCGCCGCCGCCGGAAACCCACCGCCAGCCCCGCCUCUCCUCAUCUCCUCCUCCACGCCCGUCUUCGCUGAGGGAGACCACGUGCACCUCGCCCCUGCUUGGCCCAGCAGGACGAGCCGUGACAAUCAUUGGAGUUUGUCCUCCUCGGAGCUCCGAGGCGCAUCUAUCUCCACGGCGCAGCGCUUCUCCCUGACAAGCGCGGGUUUGCUGUCACCGCGCAGCUGGUGCGCUCUGCGCGUUGCUCCAGCAUCCCCGGCCCAGCGCGAGCACGCCCCUCCUAUGGCCCAGCUCUCGCCUCGCUCCGGCGUCCCCGACCCAGCAGCGCCCAGGAGUCCAGGAACCUCCGCCCCACCCUCCGCCCUGCGCGUCGCUCCGGCGUCGCCGGCCAAGCAGCGCGGCGGAGGCCAUGAACCCGACGCCCAGCGCGCCUCUGCCCGAGGGGUGGGGGGCUGAUUGCUUUUCCGUUUUAGAUCAAGGGGUGUGUGUGUAAAUUUUUUGCUCUUACAAUCUGGCCCCACUUGUCAGAAAGUGGUUAAAUGGAACAAAUCACCUGAUCAGUGCAUUUUGCAAAAAGAUUACCAGAAACACGGUGCGUUUUGCAAAUAAUUAGGGACUAGGUAGUUUUUCGCAAAGCUAACCCCAAAUGUGGUGGUUUUCUGCAAUUCACUCCAGGCUAGUUAGCUGCAGGGAGAAGAAAAACCAUUUGAUGUGGUGGCUUCGAAUCUGGCGCUGGACCUUAAGGCGUGCCUGGUGCGGCCGUGGCUUCUCCCUUGCCCAGGUGCGUGGGAAGGCCUUGGCAUGCGGGUGCUCUACCAGUGAGGCCGAGGCAGUGGAUGCCGGGGCACCAUCCCUGAAAAGCGAGACACAGUGGCGCCCUAGAGGGGCCAAGUUUGCGCUGGACAACCUCGAGGUUCCUGUAGGAUGUGUGAUUGUGGAGGACGGGAAGGUUAUUGCCUCUGGUAGCAACAGGACCAAUGCCACCCGGAAUGCUACGAGACAUGCUGAGAUGGAAGCAAUCGAUAUCCUUCUCCAGGAGUGGCAGAGUAUUGGCCUUGACCAGACACUGGUCGCGGAUAAGUUUGCAGGAUGUGACCUCUAUGUCACGUGCGAGCCAUGCAUAAUGUGUGCAUCAGCAUUGUCGAUACUAGGAAUCAGGGAAGUAUACUAUGGGUGUCCGAAUGAUAAAUUCGGGGGAUGUGGAUCAGUCAUGUCACUGCAUGAGAGCCUUUCGUCGGAUGACUUGACAGGGUGAGGGGAUAUCAGCGGCAAAUUGAAAGCUCUCUGCUCAUGAGCCAAGAUACCAGAUCAAGAGGUUUUAAAUGUACUGGGGGGAUAAUGGCGGAAGAGGCAGUCGCUGUUUUUAGAAAUUUCUAUGAACAAGGAAACCCGAAUGCACCGAAGCCUCACAGACCUGUCCGAGUGGAUCAGCAGUGACUGGUUUGUUAGUCGUGCUGACGAGGAAGAUCUCAGAUCUACAUCCUACAGGUCAGGCGAUUCAAGAAGAUUCUCUCCACUAUUGAUUAGCUUGUGUUAACACUGAAUUCAGCCUUACUCAGUUGCAGCUAUCUAUCAUCUAGACAUUUGGUUUCUCCUUUAUGGGAAAAUAAAAGAGAAACCAAAUGUGUUACGCAAAUUGUUACUCCCUCCGUUCCUAAAUAUUUGUCUUUCUAGCCAUUUCAAAUGGAAUACAACAUACAUCCGUAUGUAGACAUAUUUUAGAGUGUAGAUUCACUCAUUUUGCUUUGU